rnacentral:rRNA from 1 species
AUACGGAGGGUGCAAGCGUUAAUCGGAAUUACUGGGCGUAAAGCGCACGCAGGCGGUUAAUUAAGUUGGGUGUGAAAGCCCCGGGCUCAACCUGGGAAUUGCAUUCAAGACUGGUUAGCUAGAGUCUCGUAGAGGGGGGUAGAAUUCCAUGUGUCGCGGUGAAAUGCGUAGAGAUAUGGAGGAAUACCGGUGGCGAAGGCGGCCCCCUGGACGAAGACUGACGCUCAGGUGCGAAAGCGUGGGGAGCAAACAGGAUUAGAUACCCUGGUAGUCCACGCUGUAAACGAUGUCGAUUUGGAGUCUGUGACCAUGAGUCGUGGGCUCCGGAGCUAACGCGUUAAAUCGACCGCCUGGGGAGUACGGCCGCAAGGUUAAAACUCAAAUGAAUUGACGGGG